rfam:Felis catus isolate Cinnamon breed Abyssinian chromosome A1, whole genome shotgun sequence.
GCCUGGGUGGCUUGGUCGGUUAAGCGUCUGACUUCAGCUCAGGUCAUGAUCCCACAGUCUGUGAGUUCAAGCCCCGCGUCAGGCU